GAUGAACGCUAGCUACAGGCUUAACACAUGCAAGUCGAACGGAGAUGCUGAAUUUCGGUUUGGUAUCUUAGUGGCGCACGGGUGAGUAACGCGUGAACAACUUGACCUUCAGAGGGGGAUAACAGCGAGAAAUCGGUGCUAAUACCGCAUGAGACCACAAUUCCACAUGGAGAAGGGGUCAAAGGAGAAAUCCGCUGAAGGAGAGGUUCGCGUCCCAUUAGGUAGUUGGCGGGAUAACAGCCCCACCAAGCCGACGAUGGGUAGCCGAGCUGAGAGGCUGAUCGGCCACACUGGAACUGAGACACGGUCCAGACUCCUACGGGA
rnacentral:rRNA from 1 species